rnacentral:rRNA from 1 species
UACGUAGGGUGCAAGCGUUAAUCGGAAUUACUGGGCGUAAGGAGUGCGCAGGCGGCUCUUUAAGACAGGUGUGAAAUCCCCGAGCUCAACUUGGGAAUUGCGCUUGUGACUGGAGAGCUAGAGUGCAGAAGAGGGGGAUAGAAUUCCUGGUGUAGCAGUGAAAUGCGUAGAUAUCAGGAGGAAUACCGAUGGCGAAGGCAGUCCCCUGGGCUAGCACUGACGCUCAUGCACGAAAGCGUGGGGAGCAAACAGGAUUAGAUACCCAUGUAG